AAGUCAGAUGUGAAAGCCCGGGGCUCAACCUCGGAACCGCAUUUGAAACUGGCAGGCUAGAGUCUUGUAGAGGGGGGUAGAAUUUCAGGUGUAGCGGUGAAAUGCGUAGAGAUCUGAAGGAAUACCAGUGGCGAAGGCGGCCCCCUGGACAAAGACUGACGCUCAGAUGCGAAAGCGUGGGUAGCAAACAGGAUUAGAUACCCUGGUAGUCCACGCCGUAAACGCUGUCUACUUGGAGGUUGAGGUUUAAGACUUUGGCUUUCGGCGCUAACGCAUUAAGUAGACCGCCUGGGGAGUACGGCCGCAAGGUUAAAACUCAAAUGAAUUGACGGGGGCCCGCACAAGCGGUGGAGCAUGUGGUUUAAUUCGAUGCAACGCGAAGAACCUUACCUACUCUUGACAUCCAGAGAACUUUCCAGAGAUGGAUUGGUGCCUUCGGGAACACUGAGACAGGUGCUGCAUGGCUGCCGUCAGCUCGUGUUGUGAAAUGUUGGGUUAAGUCCCGCAACGAGCGCAACCCUUAUCCUUGUUUGCCAGCACGUAAUGGUGGGAACUCCAGGGAGACUGCCGGUGAUAAACCGGAGGAAGGUGGGGACGACGUCAAGUCAUCAUGGCCCUUACGAGUAGGGCUACACACGUGCUACAAUGGCAGAUACAGAGGGCAGCGAAGCUGCGAAGUGGAGCGAAUCCCUUAAAGUCUGUCGUAGUCCGGAUUGGAGUCUGCAACUCGACUCCAUGAAGUCG
rnacentral:rRNA from 1 species